rnacentral:tRNA from 1 species
UCCCUGGAGGACUAGUGGUUAGGCCUCGGUGCUCUCAUUGCCCCGGCCCGGGUUCGAUUCCCGGCCAGGGAA